GGUUCAAACGCGUCAGGGAUCCCCUUCGAAAGGAGGGGAGUCAGCAAUGACCUGGCGCGAGGUGCUGCAUGGUUGUCGUCAGCUCGUGCCGUGAGGUGUCGGCUUAAGUGCCAUAACGAGCGCAACCCCUACCGACAGUUGCUAACUGGUGAAGCAGAGGACUCUGUCGGGACUGCCGGCGCAAGCUGCGAGGAAGGCGGGGAUGACGUCAAAUCAGCACGGCCCUUACGUCCGGGGCGACACACGUGUUACAAUGGCAGGUACAGCGGGAAGCCACCGGGCGACCGGGCGCGGAACCCGAAAACCUGUCUCAGUUCGGAUCGGAGUCUGCAACCCGACUCCGUGAAGCUGGAUUCGCUAGUAAUCGCGCAUCAGCCACGGCGCGGUGAAUACGUUCCCGGGCCUUGUACACACCGCCCGUCAAGCCAUGGGAGCCGGGGGUGCCUGAAGUCCGUGACCGCAAGGGGCGGCCUAGGGUAAAACCGGUGACUGGGGCUAAGUCGUAACAAGGUAGCCGU
rnacentral:rRNA from 1 species